rnacentral:rRNA from 1 species
UACGUAGGGUGCAAGCGUUGUCCGGAUUUAUUGGGUUUAAAGGGUGCGUAGGCGGUCCGUUAAGUCCGGGGUGAAAGCCCACUGCUCAACAGUGGAACUGCCCUGGAAACUGGCGGACUUGAGUACAGACGAGGGUGGCGGAAUGGAUGGUGUAGCGGUGAAAUGCAUAGAUACCAUCCAGAACCCCGAUUGCGAAGGCAGCUGCCUAGACUGUAACUGACGCUGAGCCACGAAAGCGUGGGGAGCGAACAGG